CCUGCUCCACCACCACCGCCCUCCAUGACCUCUCCCGGGGGCUUCCCUCCACCUCCUCCAACCGGCGGUCUAUCGAACGGGAACCUUCCCCCGCCCCCACCUUCAAUGCUUUCCUCAGGAUCUCCUCCACCCCCACCCCCACCACCUCUGAUGUCUCCAUCAGGGGCACCUCCACCCCCACCUCCUCCGAUGCCUUCAUCAGGGGCUCCUCCUCCUCCACCACCUCCACUGUCUUCAUCAGGAGCUCCACCCCACCACCACCACCACCACCACCCCCACCACCUUCCUGGCACUAAUGAGCAUUGAAGCUUAGCUCGGAGCCAAGAGGACUAUUUUGAUUGGUCAGAAACAUUUCCCAUAAAGCAUUGCUGUUGGUUCUUCAAGGGUACUUGCUAUAUUUUUUAAUGGAAGUCUUUUGUUGAUCUUUUAUGCCUGUCUUUGUAUGGAUAACAGCACAGCAAAGACUGGGCAUGGAACACAGGGAUUUGUUUCUCCUCUCCACAUGCAAGUUUAUCCUUGAGCUGUGAAGAUUGUUCACCCUCAUUUUAGUGCUCUGCUUCCUGCUGUUGCUUCCUCUUUUACCUUCCCCAAACAAUCGACAACAUCACAUGUUCUCUUUCGUUGUAUUCUAAACCUCAAGGCAAUUUUGCAGAUUUUUUUUGAGAUCUAAAUGAAAUACUUAGCUCUCAAGAGUGUGCAUUCCUAAGUACUGGAUGACAACAUGGCGCUUAUAUCAGUUGAACAUGUUUCAACAGCACCACUUCUGCAUUCCUACACGGCAAGCUCAAACUUGGAGCUGCGUGAGGAUACAUAAAGUGGCAUUUUUAGCGUAGGUGAGCAAGAAUAUGUUUAUAAAUGAGCCGGCAAAUGAAUAAUGUACUUGGGAGUUGUAUUACAAAAAGCCAAUAUAUGACCUGAUACCAUAACAACAAAUAUAUCACGGCAGAAACUGGAUCUAGGAACAAGAAUUGUGUCUACCUAGUGUGUAAAUCCCUGAAGUGGAAGCCACCAUGUUUAUAUAUUAUACUAGCGUAGAGAUCCCCUUCAUAUUCCUGGGAUUGGCUCUCUCUCUCAUGGUCUGCUGUUUGAAGAAAAACAUCAAGCCAGAGGUUGAGGAGACCCUGGAACAGGACCAACAUUCCCCCAUGUACAUCAGCCCCCUGUUCGAGGAGGGGGGCGUGGAGGCCCUCCAGGGAGGCAGGGUCUCUGAGCUUCACGGCCCACCUGCCUACGCUCUGCAGGACCACAACCCACCACCGCCCUAUUGGGAAGCCUCCUAGUUCUACUCAGAAGCACAUCAUUCACACCGCAAACGCAGAUUGGACAGAACAACAAUGACAUCAUCAACACGCGCCACACACCCUAUGCUCCACAUGCAUAGGAUGGAUUUUAAAGUUAAACUAUGUUUAUUUAAUAUGAUGUAAAUACCGUACUUCUACGUUUUUUGUGUAUUUUAUAAAGAAAUGUUAAGUCCAAUUAAAUGAUAUACAAAAUAUACCAGUUUUUUUGUGCGGUCCUGAAACCUGAUAAAAAUAAAUCGGGUAUAAAUGCAGAAUAAUAAAAUAAACAAAAACAAUGAAAAUAUAAUUAUGAAAGUUUACAAUAAAAGCAGUCACAAAAUCUUUGUUGAACAUUAAGAGGGUUCUGUAAUAUUACGCUCUAUAUUACGAAAAUAAGCGAAAAUAAGGAAUUAUGAACUAAGACUUAAUACC